UUUGCCAUUGCUCUUGUUUGUUAGACCUUCUACACCUAUUUCUUCUCUCUUUCUUAUUACUUCUACGGUAUGAUUGGAGUGAUAACUUUCUGGUUUCUAUCCGUCGUUGUUAGCGAACAACGGACUUGGAAGUAAGGAUAAUUGAUAUGAUGUUGGGAUUGGAUUUGAUUUCAUAUCAUCGGCACUCAUACAGAUGAAGAAGAGCAGUUGGACCGAGUACAGGUUCAAAGAUAUCUCUACGAAAGGGUUGAACACCGUGAAGUUCACCACUUUAGCGUAGAGGAAAUUCUAAAGAACUUUGUGAUGAUUUAAAGGUUGCCAGGACAAUAAGUUGAGUGUAAGAAGAGCUGUUGUACUGAUCAUGUACCCGCACUGAAAGCAAUUAGGAAACAAAAGAAGCCCGUUCAUUGUCUCCGAUAUAGAAGCUUCUCUCCACGACGACGUCCAUGUUCUAAGGACUUCUUUCAUAUGGUGAUGAAUACAAUACUAAAAGGGAUUGGCAUUUGGAAAAUCUGAAGGUCGUAAUGGAGAAUGUAUCACUUGUCGGCCAUACGAGAUCAAUAACUGUAUCUUUUGUUCUAAAACAUUGUAAAUGAUAUUCAACAAUUAGCACGCAAUAUUAUAUAUUCUUUUGAUUCGAUGCUAACUUACAAACAUCAGUCUUAACUAUC